CAGAUGGGAUUUAACCGCUUUAAAACAUUUUAAUGAUAAUUUGUUUUAAUGAGAUAAAGUCUGGGCUCCUUCGGAAAAAAUGCCGGGUAAUAACCGGGAAUUGCUUGGUAGUUGCAUAAUAUUAUUUAUAUACUAGUGUUUAGCUAAAGAUAUAAAAUAAAAUUGUAUAGCCCAAGCAAUUACAGAUAGCGCAACAGAAAUUAUACCGCCUAUAUUUUUAUAGGUAAGGGUGAAAAGGCAGUGUAAGAGACUACCGUAUUUAUGGUAACAUAAAUAGCUUGCAAGCCUCAUUUGGAGCAAGAUUAAGCAGUAGUUUAUUUUCCGAAAAACGCUACGGGUAAAUCGCUAAAGUUGUUGGGUAAUCAACAAUUCAGAUAGAUGGUUAUUAAUUAAUUGAAAAAUUAAUUGACAGAACUCAGCUUAUUAUCCCAUCUGUUUU
rnacentral:RNase_P_RNA from 1 species